rnacentral:rRNA from 1 species
UACGGGGGGGGCAAGCGUUGUUCGGAAUUACUGGGCGUAAAGGGCGCGUAGGCGGUUUGCUAAGUUGGACGUGAAAACUCUGGGCUUAACCCAGAGCCUGCAUCCAAAACUGGCAAGCUGGAGUAUUGGAGGGGGAAGCGGAAUUCCUGGUGUAGCAGUGAAAUGCGCAGAUAUCAGGAAGAACACCAAUGGCGAAAGCAGCUCUCUGGGACGGUACUGACGCUGAGACGCGAAAGCGUGGGGAGCGAACAGG